rnacentral:rRNA from 1 species
UACGUAGGGGGCAAGCGUUGUCCGGAAUCAUUGGGCGUAAAGCGCGUGUAGGCGGUUCGGUAAGUCUGAUGUGAAAGUCCAGGGCUCAACCCUGGGAUGCCGGUGGAUACUGUCGGACUAGAGUACGGAAGAGGCGAGUGGAAUUCCCGGUGUAGCGGUGAAAUGCGCAGAUAUCGGGAGGAACACCAAUUGCGAAGGCAGCUCGCUGGGACGUUACUGACGCUGAGACGCGAAAGCGUGGGGAGCAAACAGG